CCGGAUUAUAUCAAAUAAAGCUUUAAAUUUGGAUGUCUAAUAAAUCAAGCUUAGUGCUCACCCAUGGACAACCCAUAAAAAAUGGUCGUUAAUGGACAUGGUCAACUAUUUUUCCAUAAGCAAAUGGACAAUGUUGAACGGAUCAAAAUAAAUGUAGACAAUCCAUUUAGACAGCUCUAAGUACCUAUAUCUUUUUCGACACUCAAAGGCAAGAUCAAGUGUAAUAUACUUGAAAUAAAAC
rnacentral:lncRNA from 1 species